AUGGCCCUCCCGCCCUGUGGGGGGCGCUGCAGGACAGCUCACUGUCUGAUGGCCCUCCCGCCCUGUGGGUGGCGCUGCAGGACAGCUCACUGUCUGAUGGCCCUCCUGCCCUGUGGGUGGCGCUGCAGGACAGCUCACUGUCUGAUGGCCCUCCUGCCCUGUGGGUGGCGCUGCAGGACAGCUCACUGUCUGAUGGCCCUCCCGCCCUGUGGGUGGCGCUGCAGGACAGCUCACUGUCUGAUGGCCCUCCCGCCCUCUGGGUGGCGCUGCAGGACAGCUCACUGUCUGAUGGCCCUCCCGCCCUCUGGGUGGCGCUGCAGGACAGCUCACUGUCUGAUGGCCCUCCUGCCCUGUGGGUGGCGCUGCAGGACAGCUCACUGUCUGAUGGCCCUCCUGCCCUCUGGGUGGCGCUGCAGGACAGCUCACUGUCUGAUGGCCCUCCUGCCCUGUGGGUGGCGCUGCAGGACAGCUCACUGUCUGAUGGCCCUCCCGCCCUGUGGGUGGCGCUGCAGGACAGCUCACUGUCUGAUGGCCCUCCCGCCCUCUGGGUGGCGCUGCAGGACAGCUCACUGUCUGAUGGCCCUCCCGCCCUGUGGGUGGCGCUGCAGGACAGCUCACUGUCUGAUGGCCCUCCUGCCCUGUGGGUGGCGCUGCAGGACAGCUCACUGUCUGAUGGCCCUCCCGCCCUGUGGGUGGCGCUGCAGGACAGCUCACUGUCUGAUGGCCCUCCUGCCCUGUGGGUGGCGCUGCAGGACAGCUCACUGUCUGAUGGCCCUCCUGCCCUCUGGGUGGCGCUGCAGGACGUCUUCACCGUGGUGGCAGGUGUGUGCUGGCCUCCCUCACUCUUCUUCUUGGCUGGAGACUCUGAGCAGAUUUUACCAUCCACCUUCAUCCUCCGAUGAUCUGACUGGACUCUGUGGCACCUCUGGUGAGGUGGACACCAGUUUGGAGCAUCUGCUGGCUUCGACCUGUAGUCAGGUGACCUUCACUAACUCUGAGGGUGGCAUGGUGGGGCUGGACCUCUGCUCAGCGAGCCUGAAUACCCUGCAAACAUGGCUGGUGUGCGGCGGUCUGCGGCUCUCUCUCUCACUCACCUUUUCCUGCUCAGCCUGGAGCAGCUUGGCCUGGCUCUGUUCAUUGGACAUCUUGAAGGAAUCAUUCCUCUUCUCCAGCAGCAGGUUACUCUGCUCCAGGUACCUGCUCAGAGCCCAGAGUCACUUGUAA
rnacentral:lncRNA from 1 species